AAAUAAAAUACCUUAAAGAAAAUAUUGUGUGAGUUUUUUGCAAACUCCAGGGAAUAUGGAAAUUUGAGAGAAGCUUAACUACUACUUUUAUUGCUCUAAUACAACUGAUGCAGUGGAUAUUAAAGAUUACAGGCCUAUCAAUUUAGUGGU